UACGGGGGGAGCAAGCGUUGUUCGGAUUUACUGGGCGUAAAGGGCGCGUAGGCGGCCACCGCAAGUCGACUGUGAAAUCCCCGGGCUCAACCCGGGAACUGCGUCCGAUACUGGAGGGCUCGAAUCCGGGAGAGGGAUGUGGAAUUCCAGGUGUAGCGGUGAAAUGCGUAGAUAUCUGGAGGAAUACCGGUGGCGAAGGCGGCAUCCUGGACCGACAUUGACGCUGAUGAGCGAAAGCUAGGGGAGCAAACGGG
rnacentral:rRNA from 1 species